rnacentral:rRNA from 1 species
GAUGAACGCUGGCGGCGUGCCUAAUACAUGCAAGUCGAGCGAACAGACGAGGAGCUUGCUCCUUUGACGUUAGCGGCGGACGGGUGAGUAACACGUGGGUAACCUACCUAUAAGACUGGGAUGACUUCGGGAAACCGGAGCUAAUACCGGAUAAUAUUUCGAACCGCAUGGUUCGAUAGUGAAAGAUGGCUUUGCUGUCACUUAUAGAUGGACCUGCGCCGUAUUAGCUAGUUGGUAAGGUAACGGCUUACCAAGGCAACGAUACGUAGCCGACCUGAGAGGGGGAUCGGCCACACUAGAACUGAGACACGGUCCAGACUCCUACGAGAGGCAGCAGUAGGGAAUCGUCCGCAAUGGGCGAAAGCCUGACGGAGCAACGCCGCGUGAGUGAUGAAGGUCUUCGGAUCGUAAAACUCUGUUAUUAGGGAAGAACAAACGUGUAAGUAACUGUGCACGUCUUGACGGUACCUAAUCAGAAAGCCACGGCUAACUACGUG